AUUGAACGCUGGCGGCAUGCUUUACACAUGCAAGUCGAACGGUAACAGGCCGCAAGGUGCUGACGAGUGGCGAACGGGUGAGUAAUGCAUCGGAACGUGCCCAGUCGUGGGGGAUAACGCAGCGAAAGCUGUGCUAAUACCGCAUACGAUCUAUGGAUGAAAGCGGGGGACCGUAAGGCCUCGCGCGAUUGGAGCGGCCGAUGUCAGAUUAGGUAGUGGGUGGGGUAAAGGCUCACCAAGCCAACGAUCUGUAGCUGGUCUGAGAGGACGACCAGCCACACUGGGACUGAGACACGGCCCAGACUCCUACGGGAGGCAGCAGUGGGGAAUUUUGGACAAUGGGCGCAAGCCUGAUCCAGCAAUGCCGCGUGCAGGAAGAAGGCCUUCGGGUUGUAAACUGCUUUUGUACGGAACGAAACGGUCUGGGUUAAUACCCUGGGCUAAUGACGGUACCGUAAGAAUAAGCACCGGCUAACUACGUGCCAGCCGCCGCGGUAAUAC
rnacentral:rRNA from 1 species